rnacentral:lncRNA from 1 species
CGUGCGCUCGCGCCCCAGGGGCCGCCCCCGACACUCCAGUGCGACUCUGCGUGCACAGGCCAGAGGCUCAGAACCAGCGCCGGGCUGCCCUGCUCGGCCUCCUGGGCGCGCAGCGGCGUUUGCCCGUGCACGUGCCCUCGCAUCGCGCGCUCCGGGGCCGGGCUCCGGGCGGUUCUCGCCGCUGCAGUUCCACCGGGACUUCCGCGCUUCGGCGGCCUGUCUGACGAGCCGCCGCGCCCAGAGAGGUUCAGGUUGGAGCGACACUUCCCAGAGGGCAGCGGUCACGCCAGAUCUUUGGCUUCCAUUCCGUUUUCGCGCGCUUCUCCCACUUUGCAAGCUCUGGAUUCUCUUUGUUCUUUCCCAGUAGAGGAAUCCCAAGGAGGACUGAUCCGUUUUGGCAGGUGCACAACCAUGGUAUGUGUCUUCCAGGUAUAGUGAGGCUGGUCUAUUUGAGACCCCCCUGGCUUUCUGUUGGCUCCCAUAGGCUUGGAUGCUGCUGCCCCAUCAUGACCGGUGAUGCUUGUCCUGGGUUGUCUGAAGGUUCGCACUUAAGUAUCUCUGGUGAGAUGCCCCACGGACAGCUUUACGCAGCACACUAGGAGGUGGGCUUCUUGAAGAUCCAUUACCAUGGCUUACUCGCAGAGUCCUUUCA